GCAAACUUGGUCAUUUAGAGGAAGUAAAAGUCGUAACAAGGUUUCCGUAGGUGAACCUGCGGAAGGAUCAUUAACAAAUUAUCCAUUAUGGAUGGUUAAAAAAUCCAUAUCCACCCUUCGUGUGCACAUCAUUGACAUGUUUGCUUUGGCAGUCUUUUUUUUUUAUAUUGCGGGGAAGAGAGAGGAGGGGGAAGACAAGUUUUUCUUUCUUUCUUCUCCUCUUGCUUUACCGACGCUGCCAGAGUUUUUCAACCUUUUUCACCUUGACAAACUUUUGCUUUUUUUUUUCCUUCUGGAAAAAGGGCAAGUCCUUUGAAAAAAGUUAAACAAAAUAAAAAAUCGAAUACAACUUUCAACAACGGAUCUCUUGGCUCUCGCAUCGAUGAAGAACGCAGC
rnacentral:misc_RNA from 1 species